rnacentral:rRNA from 1 species
AGUGAACGCUGGCGGUAGGCCUAACACAUGCAAGUCGAACGGCAGCACAGUAAGAGCUUGCUCUUACGGGUGGCGAGUGGCGGACGGGUGAGGAAUACAUCGGAAUCUACUUUUUCGUGGGGGAUAACGUAGGGAAACUUACGCUAAUACCGCAUACGACCUACGGGUGAAAGCAGGGGAUCUUCGGACCUUGCGCGAUUGAAUGAGCCGAUGUCGGAUUAGCUAGUUGGCGGGGUAAAGGCCCACCAAGGCGACGAUCCGUAGCUGGUCUGAGAGGAUGAUCAGCCACACUGGAACUGAGACACGGUCCAGACUCCUACGGGAGGCAGCAGUGGGGAAUAUUGGACAAUGGGCGCAAGCCUGAUCCAGCCAUACCGCGUGGGUGAAGGAGGCCUUCGGGCUGUAAAGCCCUUUUGUUGGGAAAGAAAAGCAGCAGGUUAAUACCCCGCUGUUCUGACGGUACCCAAAGAAUAAGCACCGGCUAACUUCGUG